rnacentral:rRNA from 1 species
UGCCAGCCGCCGCGGUAAUACAGAGGGGGCAAGCGUUAUUCGGAAUUAUUGGGCGUAAAGGGCGCGUAGGCGGCCUGGCAAGUGACGGGUGAAAUCCCUCGGCUUAACCGAGGAACUGCCUGUCAGACUGCUUGGCUUGAGACCGGGAGAGGUGAGUGGAAUUCCCAGUGUAGCGGUGAAAUGCGUAGAUAUUAGGAGGAACACCAGUGGCGAAGGCGGCUUUCUGGACUGUAACUGACACUGAGGCAUGAAAGCGUGGGUAGCAAACAGGAUUAGAUA